AUGCACGGCGGCGGCACCAGCACCCGUGACGGAGACGGCGAACUGCGCGCGCGCGGCUUCCACGUUCCCCAGCACCGGAGCACCGCGGCGCGCGGCCUCCAGCUCGCCCAGCACCGGGGCAGCGCGGGGCGCAGCCUCCAGCUUUCGCAGCACCGGGGCAGCACGAGUGCCUCCGCCGAUGCCACCGAUGGAGGAAGAAAACCCCCGCCGAUGCCACCGGUGGAGGAAGAAAGGCGCGGCUUCCACCUUUGCCAGCACCGGGGCAGCACGAGCGCCUCCGCCGAUGCCACCGACGGAGGAAGAAAUCCCCCGCCGCCGCCGCCGCAGGACCUCUCGGACAGGCCGGGUUCCUCGCGGCACGUCCUGUCGGGUUCGACAGACCUGAUGGUCGCCCUUUACAUUGAGAUGGGUUUCCCUGCAGCGAAGGUCGCCAUGGCUCUCGAGCACACUGGAGGACAGGUCGAGGAUGAAGCCAUCCUGGACUGGCUGAUUAAUCAUGAGGAGACUGAUCUAGAGGGGUCCAGCUCACCAAUUGACCUGGAGGGGUUCAGCAGUUCAUCGAGUGACCUGGAGGUGUUCGGCUCAUCAAGAGACCUAGAGGCAUUUGGUGAAGAGCUGACAGAGAGAGAAAAGAAGUUGUGGACACUAGUGGAGAUGGGUUUCACAGAGGAAGAGGCCUCUUCAGCCAUUGACAUAUGUGGUGUGCACGAACAAGAUUCAAUACUUGCUGAUGCAGUAUUGGCUGCACAGAUAUUUAAGAGAGACAAUGACUCUGCUGAGAGUGUACUACUGGAUACACCUCAAGAACCUCCAUACUUUUACUUUGAGAAUGUUGAACGCGCCCCGAAAGGGGUUUGGGAUGAGAUGUCUCGUUGUCUUUACAAUCUAGCACCUGAGUAUGUGGACUCAAAGGAUUUCUGUGCAGCAACACGGAAAAGAGGCUAUAUCCACAAUCUUCCUGUAAAAGGAAGGUUCCGUAUCCAGCCAAUGCAACAAACAAAAAUACAGGAGAAAUUUCCACGGACAAAACAAUGGUGGCCUGCAUGGGAUACAAGGACACAAUUGAACUGUAUACAGACUGUGAUGGCCCCUACGACAGCAUCAAACAGGGUGCGAGAGAUCCUUAGUGAUUGUGAUGGCACCCCAAGUGAAGCUAAUCAGAAAAACAUCCUCAAUCUAUGUAAAUGUUGUUGUGUCUGCCGAGAUAUCUGA
rnacentral:rRNA from 1 species